GUGAGCGCAACUACACAGCCUACGCUACUGUUGCGUCCAGCUUUCCUCCCCAUUCACCUAUACUCAGAUGUAAACGUUCAUUCUAGUGAUGGCGCCGAUGCUGUAACAAAGUGGCAAUUUAAAAAAUCGAUUAUUUCUAGCAGGAAAUGUUGCACACAGGAAAAGUGCUUACAAUUUAUUUCUAGUAGUUUUUUGGCUGCCAACGUCAGGAUGGGAUCCCACGCAAAAUCAGCGAAUAAGAAGGCCAAGGAAUCUAUCAACUGCCUCAAAUCAAACUUUUCAUAUUGUUUAGUCGGGCUGUUAAUGGUCUUUUGUAUCAUGCUGUCGGUGUGUUCUAUGGCGUUUUGUUUUUUGGUCAACUUCAAGACAUCUUACCUGGAGUACAGAGUGCAUACAUUGGAGAUGGAGAGAAUGUUCCUGAUCCAUCCCGAUGCAUCCGCGCAGGAUGAGAAUGGAACAGUACCUGGUCUCCAGGAUAUCAUUGAAAAAAUUGUGCAAGAGAGACUGACCAUAGCACUGCCCAAACUUCGCACUGCCAGGGAGGUCAUUCAAGAGUGCUCCUGUCCUCCAGGGCCUCCAGGAAAACGGGGAAGGCUGGGAAGACAAGGCGACCCUGGUGAUAUUCUUUAUUCUUUCUAUGCUCCUUCAAUGUUUUCAAUGCUUAUCUUCCUCAGCAGUGUGUGUUAAUGGGUAUGUUGAUGUGUGCCAUGGGGUAAACCAGGGAUCAUCGAUUAGAUUCAGCCACGGGAUGAUUUUUUCUUGAGUGGAUGGCCAGGGAGCUGGAACAUAAUUACAGAUCAUUUGUAGACUGCAGACUGACAGCAAGAAGCCCCGAACAGAUAUAAUUUUUACUAAAACAUAAUAAUUUCAAACCUUGCUUAUAUUUACAGUAUAUACAAUCACAUAUAUCUCUCUAUUAUGUGUGGGAAUACUUUGGAGCAGAUUUCUGAAAUUAAAAUCACUUGAAGCUGACUUAGUCUUUUAUGUCCAACAAUAAAAAAUAAAAAUAAAAAAAUAAAAUAAAAAUAUAUAUAUAUAUAGUCAGUUGGGAAACCCUGGGGUAGAGUGUAUAAAAAAGACCAACAGAUCGGAGUGAACUGUACAGUACCUCCCAAUAGU